AAGUCGUAACAAGGUCUCCGUUGGUGAACCAGCGGAGGGAUCAUUACCGAGUUUACAACUCCCAAACCCCAUGUGAACGUUACCAAACUGUUGCCUCGGCGGGAUCUCUGCCCCGGGUGCGUCGCAGCCCCGGACCAAGGCGCCCGCCGGAGGACCAACCAAAACUCUUAUUGUAUACCCCCUCGCGGGUUUUUUUAUAAUCUGAGCCUUCUCGGCGCCUCUCGUAGGCGUUUCGAAAAUGAAUCAAAACUUUCAACAACGGAUCUCUUGGUUCUG
rnacentral:misc_RNA from 1 species